GAUGGUUCUCGGGUGAUGCACUCCAGAAUCGGGCUCCCUCCUUUCUGGUUCCAGGUGCAUCACCCAAGAACCGCA
rfam:Myotis brandtii contig281464, whole genome shotgun sequence.